AGAGUUUGAUCAUGGCUCAGAACGUACGCUGGCGGCACGCCUAACACAUGCAAGUCGAACGAAGUAGCAAUACUUAGUGGCAGACGGGUGAGUAACAUGUAGGUAUCUGCCCUUUGGCCUGGAAUAACACGAGGAAACUUGUGCUAAUACCGGAUAAGUCUUUACGGAGAAAGCUUUAUGCACCAUUGGAUGAGCCUGCACUUGAUUAGUUUGUUGGUGGGGUAAUGGCCUACCAAGACUGUGAUCAAUAGCUGAUUUGAGAGGAUGAUCAGCCACAUUGGGACUGAGACACGGCCCAAACUCCUACGGGAGGCAGCAGUGGGGAAUCUUGCACAAUGGAGGAAACUCUGAUGCAGCGAUGCCGCGUGAGUGAAGAAGGCCCUUGGGUUGUAAAGCUCUUUCGUCGGGGAAGAAAAUGACUGUACCCGAAUAAGAAGGUCCGGCUAACUUCGUGCCAGCAGCCGCGGUAAUACGAAGGGACCUAGCGUAGUUCGGAAUUACUGGGCUUAAAGAGUUCGUAGGUGGUUGAAAAAGUUAGUGGUGAAAUCCCAGAGCUUAACUCUGGAACUGCCAUUAAAACUUUUCAGCUAGAGUAUGAUAGAGGAAAGCAGAAUUUCUAGUGUAGAGGUGAAAUUCGUAGAUAUUAGAAAGAAUACCAAUUGCGAAGGCAGCUUUCUGGAUCAUUACUGACACUGAGGAACGAAAGCAUGGGUAGCGAAGAGGAUUAGAUACCCUCGUAGUCCAUGCCGUAAACGAUGUGUGUUAGACGUUGGAAACUUAUUUUUCAGUGUCGCAGGGAAACCGAUAAACAC
rnacentral:rRNA from 1 species